UAGCUUAUCAGACUGGUGUUUGCU
rnacentral:miRNA from 1 species